rnacentral:rRNA from 1 species
CCUACGGGUGGCAGCAGUGGGGGAUAUUGCACAAUGGGGGAAACCCUGAUGCAGCGACGCCGCGUGGGUGAAGAAGUAUUUCGGUAUGUAAAGCCCUAUCAGCAGGGAAGAAAGAAGACGGUACCUGACUAAGAAGCCCCGGCUAACUACGUGCCAGCAGCCGCGGUAAUACGUAGGGGGCGAGCGUUAUCCGGAUUCACUGGGUGUAAAGGGAGCGUAGACGGCCGUGCAAGCCAGGAGUGAAAGCCCGGGGCCCAACCCCGGGACUGCUCUUGGAACUGUACGGCUAGAGUGCGGGAGGGGCAGGCGGAAUUCCUGGUGUAGCGGUGAAAUGCUUAGAUAUUGCGCAGAACUCCGAUUGCGAAGGCAGCAUACCGGCGGCGAUCUGACGCUGAGGCACGAAAGCGUGGGUAUCGAACAGGAUUAGAUACCCCAGUAGUC